CCUACGGGAGGCAGCAGUGAGGAAUAUUGGUCAAUGGUCGGGAGACUGAACCAGCCAAGCCGCGUGAGGGAGGAAGGUACAGAGUAUCGUAAACCUCUUUUGUCAGGGAACAAAGACUGGGACGCGUCCCCGGAUGAGUGUACCUGAAGAAAAAGCAUCGGCUAACUCCGUGCCAGCAGCCGCGGUAAUACGGAGGACGCGAGCGUUAUCCGGAUUUACUGGGUGUAAAGGGCGUGUAGGCGGGACUGCAAGUCAGAUGUGAAAACCAUGGGCUCAACCCAUGGCCUGCAUUUGAAACUGUAGUGCUUGAGUGUUGGAGAGGCAGGCGGAAUUCCGUGUGUAGCGGUGAAAUGCGUAGAUAUACGGAGGAACACCAGUGGCGAAGGCGGCCUGCUGGACAAUAACUGACGCUGAGGCGCGAAAGCGUGGGGAGCAAACAGGAUUAGAUACCCUAGUAGUC
rnacentral:rRNA from 1 species